UACGAAGGGGGCUAGCGUUGUUCGGAUUUACUGGGCGUAAAGCGCACGUAGGCGGUUUGUUAAGUCAGGGGUGAAAUCCCGGAGCUCAACUCCGGAACUGCCUUUGAUACUGGCAAGCUAGAAUCCGGAAGAGGUGAGUGGAACUCCUAGUGUAGAGGUGGAAUUCGUAGAUAUUAGGAAGAACACCAGUGGCGAAGGCGGCUCACUGGUCCGGUACUGACGCUGAGGUGCGAAAGCGUGGGGAGCAAACAGG
rnacentral:rRNA from 1 species